CUUGGUAUAGUUGUUUUGGAGUGGGAAGCAUUAGAAUCACCAAAGUGAUCAUAUCUCCAAGUGAAGAAGACUUGAAGAAAAGUUUUUCGACGAAACGGGAAGUGAGUUUGGAAAGGCGUAAAGAGCUUGAAAGGUACAGACGACAGGUUCGCUGAUCCACACGUUUAGGAUCCCAUUUCUGCUAUUUUGGGGCGCUCUCUUCUUCAGAGCCCAUCUUUUGGUACAGUCUGUCACUGCUAUCUGGAUAUGUACAUUGUUCUGGGUAUGACGGGGCCCUGUCCCGUCUUAUGAUUAUGUUAUGUUCUGUAGAGG